GUUGUCAUUUGCGGUGCGUGAAAAGUUUAUUGAAAGUUUUCGUUCCUUUCAUAGUCCACCCUUUCAUCUUGGAAGAGGAAGUUUAGGGUUAGAGUUGAGAGAGAGCGAGAAAGAAAAAAAAGGAGAACUCCAUGGCUACAACAGGCUGGACGUGAUCGGUGAUCAGAAGAGUUGGAACCGGCGAAUGCAAAGCAUCAGGAUGAUGCACAUAUUUUCUGCAGGGAGACCCAGAUAAAGGAUGAAGUGAGGAACGCAUUGAGUUUCAUCAAUUAUGUGUUUAACAUAUUUGGUUUCACAUAUGAGCUGAAGCUUUGAACGAUAUGCUUUCAAUCUAAAUUGUUAUUAAUGCCCAUGUACCUUUCUAAAUGUCCUUAAAAUCAGAAAAUUCAGAGUUUCAAAGUAUCUUAGUUGUUUUUAGAUUUUAUUAUGUCGUUCUAUUAAUGAAACAGUUUCCUCCAGUAGAUUAAAUUAUAAUUAUGGCUAUACUAGUCUCUUGUUUAAAUUUACUAAGAAAUAUAGUUUUUUUUUAUUGUGGGUCUCAUUCAUUAGUGGUAAUACUGGAUUAAAUUUUGCAAAAUAAUGUAUUCACUAUGUAUUUUUAUUUAUUUGGUAUGGUAACGGGGAUUUUCAUUAUAGUCUCGUUUUAACUUCACAGCAAAUUUGUUGUCUUUCUAUCCUGCUUCCUUUUUAAGGAGAAAAGCAUAGAAAGUUUUUUCGAAUCAAUCCUUGUUUUUUUUUCUUUCAAUUAAAGAUAAUUAUUUCAUGUGUCGGAUACUUCAUUAGAGACCAGAGAAAUACCUAGGAGAUAUUGCAACCUGGGAUAAUGCUUUAUAUAUAUCUUUCUACUUUUACAAAAGGCUCAUUAAUAUUCCACCUUGUACAAUAUUUUGGAAAUAGGAACCAGGGAAAUAUAUCAUAUUUGUAAUGAUUAGCAAAGGCAGAAAACGUUUCUUAAAUAAAACAGGCUAUUGACUUUUUAUUGUCUGUUUGUAAUUUGUUAGGAAACUUGUACUGCUAUAUAUAUUGAUAGUGAGAUGAAAGGGUUUGUUGGUCAUGUAACUUUCUUGGACUGCAAUUUUCUAGGUGAAAGAUCAGAUCCAGCAAGCAGGAUUUCACGUUUAGGCUUAUACAACUGAUAGGAAGAUUCAAAAGAAGGUCAAGGUAUUGGGCAGAGGGAAUCCACAUUGCCAUAUUUAGAACCCGAAGUCACCGGGCAAAGAUUGGUUGUCAGAGCCAACUUUGUUUGUGCUGGAAUUGGAAUUGUCAAUAGUGGAAGCGUUUGAAAAGUGUUGCUUUGAAAACCCUUGGACAAUAUUAGAUAGGAAAAAUCGUAGGCGCAUUGAAUAGUUUAUUAUGAAGUUUUUUGUCUUUGGAUAUAUGUAUGAAUUCAUAUGUAUUGUUAGGAAACACAAUUGUAAUUUUGAAUGAUCUUAACUCUUCAUAUUUUUUGAUGAAUAAAGGUUGAAUAUUUGAUCGAUUUGUAA